GAACUCAGGUACAGGUCAUGUGUACUCAGGUACAGGUCAUGUGUACUCAGUUACAGGUCAUGUGUACUCAGGUACAGGUCAUGUGUACUC